rnacentral:rRNA from 1 species
AUUGAACGCUGGCGGCAUGCCUUACACAUGCAAGUCGAACGGCAGCACGGGUGCUUGCACCUGGUGGCGAGUGGCGAACGGGUGAGUAAUACAUCGGAACAUGUCCUGUAGUGGGGGAUAGCCCGGCGAAAGCCGGAUUAAUACCGCAUACGAUCUACGGAUGAAAGCGGGGGACCUUCGGGCCUCGCGCUAUAGGGUUGGCCGAUGGCUGAUUAGCUAGUUGGUGGGGUAAAGGCCUACCAAGGCGACGAUCAGUAGCUGGUCCGAGAGGACGACCAGCCACACUGGGACUGAGACACGGCCCAGACUCCUACGGGAGGCAGCAGUGGGGAAUUUUGGACAAUGGGCGAAAGCCUGAUCCAGCAAUGCCGCGUGUGUGAAGAAGGCCUUCGGGUUGUAAAGCAUUUUUGUCCGGAAAGAAAUCCUUGGCCCUAAUACGGUCGGGGGAUGACGGUACCGGAAGAAUAAGCACCGGCUAACUACGUG